rnacentral:misc_RNA from 1 species
UACAGAGACCUCAAGCGUUAUCCGGAUUUAUUGGGCGUAAAGGGUCCGUAGGUGGUUUUGUAAGUCAUUCGUUAAAUCUUCAGGCUCAACCUGGAGGCUGCGGGUGAUACUGUAAAACUAGAGGAUGGGAAAGGUAGAUGGAAUUGCUGGUGUAGCGGUAAAAUGCGUUAAUAUCAGCAAGAACACCAAAGGCGAAAGCAAUCUACUGGAACAUUCCUGACACUGAGGGACGAAAGCGUGGGUAGCGAAUCGG